rnacentral:rRNA from 1 species
GUAACGUCAAGACUCACGGGUAUUAACCGUAGGCUUUUCUUCUCUACUGAAAGUGCUUUACAACCCGCAGGCCUUCUUCACACACGCGGCAUUGCUGGAUCAGGCUUGCGCCCAUUGUCCAAUAUUCCCC